GUCCACGCCGUAAACGGUGGGUGCUAGGUGUGGGGAACAUUCCACGUUCUCCGUGCCGCAGCUAACGCAUUAAGCACCCCGCCUGGGGAGUACGGCCGCAAGGCUAAAACUCAAAGGAAUUGACGGGGGCCCGCACAAGCGGCGGAGCAUGCGGUUUAAUUCGAUGCAACGCGAAGAACCUUACCAAGGUUUGACAUAUAGGGAAAACUCAUAGAGAUAUGAGGUCCGCAAGGGCCCUAUACAGGUGGUGCAUGGCUGUCGU
rnacentral:rRNA from 1 species